GCCCCCGUCGCCCAACUGGAUAGGGCAAGAGGUUUCUAUCCUCUACGGUGCAGGUUCGAGUCCUGUCGGGGGCG
rnacentral:tRNA from 1 species